GGAGCGGCUCGUGGUCCGGUGACUACCGCGGUCUUCAAAACCGUCUGUGGGGCAGUGACCCUGUCCUGGGUGGGUUCGACUCCCAUGUCGCUCCGCCA
rnacentral:tRNA from 1 species